UCCGAAAAUACUUGUCAUUGAAAUGGAUGUAUCUAGAUGUAUUUUAGUUCUAGACACAUCCAUUUUGAUGACAAGUAAUUCCGGACGGAGGGAGUACUUG
rnacentral:pre_miRNA from 1 species